rnacentral:rRNA from 1 species
AGCGAACAUUGGCGGUAGGCUUAACACAUGCAAGUCGAGCGAGGCGUAAUAGUCGAGCGGCGAACGGGUGCGUAAUACAUGGGAAUCUACCUCGAAGUGGGGGAUAACGUCCAGAAAUGGACGCUAAUACCGCAUAAUCCAUAUUGGGAAAGCGUUGCAGCGCUUUGAGAUGAGCCCAUGGCUGAUUAGCUAGUUGGUGAGGUAAUGGCUCACCAAGGCGACGAUCAGUAGCUGGUCUGAGAGGAUGACCAGCCACACUGGAACUGAGACACGGUCCAGACUCCUACGGGAGGUAGCAGUGGGGAAUCUUGAGCAAUGGGGGCAACCCUGACGCAGCCAGACCGCGUGAGUGAUGAAGGUCUUCGUAUUGUAAAGCUCUUUCGGCGGGGACGACGAUGACGGUACCCGCAAAAGAAGUCACGGCGAACUUCGUGCCAGCCGCCGCCGUAA